rnacentral:rRNA from 1 species
UACGGAGGGUGCGAGCGUUAAUCGGAAUAACUGGGCGUAAAGGGCACGCAGGCGGGCUUUUAAGUGAGAUGUGAAAUCCCCGGGCUCAACCUGGGAACUGCAUCUGAUACUGGCAAGCUUGAGUCUCGUAGAGGGGGGUAGAAUUCCAGGUGUAGCGGUGAAAUGCGUAGAGAUGUGGAGGAAUACCGGUGGCGAAGGCGACUUUCUGGCCAUUAUCUGACGCUGAGGUACGAAAGCGUGGGGAGCAAACAGG